AAAUGAUCAAAAAAUAGCGUAAAUUGUUUUUAAAAAUACAUUUAAAACAAACAUUUUUCACAAUGCACAUUGAAGUUUACCUUUUUUGCCAAACAUUGCAACAGUUGUUGCAUUAAAAAAAAGCAUACAAUCUUUCUCCCAUCAAACUUUUAGGUUUCUGGCAAACAGUUGUACUUUUGACAGUUUUGGCACAAAUUUGUAGAAAGAUCACAUUUUUAAAACUUGCGGUGAACUUCUGGCUAACUUUGUGGAAAACUUUUGGCAAACAGUUGACUUUUUUAUUUACUUUUACUGCACUUUCACCAGAAUAUUCAUUUUUUGCAGAAGGUUCACUAAAAAAUUCAUAUUUAAUGAGAUUCUGGCAAGUAUUUCUGUGAACCAACCACCUAAAUUGGGAAAAAAUGUUCCCACUCAACCCCCUCGGGAUUUGAAGAAUAGAAUCUAAAAGACUCUCAAACAAGCUCUGACUGCUGCAAACUGGUUUGAUCAAUGAGAUUUCUCCAAAUUAUUGUAUAAAACAUGCGAACACCAGAGUUGUUUCUGCAUGUCACUGCUCGAGGACACAUUUACUGGAUUCAAAAUAUGACUAUAUCAGAAAAUACUGAUUUUGUCACAGAGUGAAUCGUGUCUGCAAGAUGAUUCUGGUAUCAAAUGUAGGUAAAAUGAUCCUUUUAUUGUCUAUAACUUGUUCUGACCAACCACAUGCUGACAUGAGCCUUGAAAGUUUACCCAGAAUGCACUUGUUAAAGUUUUCUCUGGUGAAUUAUCAGAAAACAGAAACACACAUUAGACAUUAAACUGCUGCAUUUUUACUGUUCAAACACAAUACUGUCAUAAUAUUGAUGCUCAGAGUCAGUUAUAUAGAAAAUGAACAAAAAUUAGAUUUAGCCUUUAGACUGUGACACAUGCAGUGGAUACAAACUGAUCUUGGUGCAGUUUUUAACAGAACUCAAAUGUGUUUUUCAGCCCUGAAAAUUCCACGUUUCUAUCAUCUGUAUUCACAAAGUUAUGGGCCUCAGACAUGAUGGAAAAAAGUAACGUAAAUUGAAAAAAGGGCAACAUUUUGUCCAACGUCAUGUACUUCAAGGAUCUGUAACCCUAAAAAUAUUCCUAGUAUGAAGGUAAAACUUUGUAUGUCGUCAUUAAAUACACUGAAAUUAUUGUUCUGUGAAAAUCACAUUCUGAGGCGGCCAGGUGGAAUGAAGAGAUUGAUUUUUUUUCAUGGACUCUUGAUUUAAUUCUAUCCAUCUACACUCACUUCAUCCUUCAGAUGAUCUCUGGGAUCACAUUCACGAUUCUGAAUCACCAUUUAACCUUCUGUAAAAGUCUUAGCUUGUCGACAGCCAGAUGAAAUCCUUGAAUAGAAAGUGAAAUUUCUAUUGAAAGUCCUUUUUAAAUAGGAAAUGCAAGGUUGCUAACUGUACUGAAACCAGCUUACUCACAGAUUUUUUUUCUUUUUUCUGUGACGUAAAGUCAGUUAUGUAACUUAAGGGUGUUUUAAAUACUAGAAUGAACAGAAAGUCGCAUUUAUGCAUCAAAUUUUGAUCGUUUUUGCAAAUAAUCCCUCAUGUUUUCCUUUAUUUUGGGAAGGUUUUGGAGCCAAAUUUCACUUUUCCUUGUGGGUUAUUAGAACAUAAGUGGAGCUGAAUUGACAAUCUCUAUACGGUCUGUGAAUGAAAGAAGGAAUAGAUGGAUGGAUACUUUGCUCCUGCAGCCAAGUUCUACUGAUCCUGGAUGUGUUUAAGGGGCAUUAUCUUGUUGAAACAUCCAGUUUGGACCUCAGUGGAACAGUUCUGUGCAGAAGGGAGCAUGUGGGUUUCAAGAAUGGCGCAAUACUUGGCGGAGUUCAGUGUGUCAUCAGUGUGAUGACCAACACCAGCAGCACUCAUGCAUCCCCAAACCAUGAUACUGCCUCCACCAUGCUUGACAGUAGGUACUGUACAUGCUGGAGAUAAUGCCUCGCCUUGGCCUUCUGUGUACUCUCACAUUAGCAGGAGGAAGAUAAAGCUGGAAACUGGACUCAUCUGACCACAGAAUCUUCUUCCAGUUCCUGGUUGUCCAGUUCUUGUGUGCUUGGGCCCAACAACGCUGGCUAACCUCCGUCUCUCAUUGAUCAGGUGCUUCUUGGCAGCCCUGUAGGACCUUAAGCCAUGAUCUAUAAGUCAGCCGCGUACAGCAUGGUAGAAAACUGGACACCAGUUUGGUUUGACAGCACUGCUGCUGAAUCUCCUGUGAUGUCAUUUGGUGGUUUUCCCUGCACAUGCAGAUCAGGAUGCAGUCAUUUCUUGCUGAAGAAACCCUUGGACGCCCAGAUCUUGGUUUGUCUGUAUUUCUGCAGAACUGCUGAAGGACUGCAUCUGCACUUCCUGGCUAUCUGGCGCCAGAUGUACCCUUCCUGGCUGAGAAUCUAUAGCUUGAGGCGUGUUUACUGCUUUAGGUUCCUUGUUUUAGCCAUUUUUGUCUCUGAAGAACUUUCAAAUGUGCUGGAUUUAUAUAGACAUGAAGCGUGGAAACAAAAACAUGUGUCUUUUAAUUAAAAGCACAGCCUUCAUUAGUGGAUCACUGGAACCAAAAUGAUCCAAUACUCAAAAUUUCUCGUGUAUUUUUAUGGAACCAAUCAAUUUUAAGUUUUUAAUGGCUGUUUUAGCAUUUGUUUAGUAUUUGGGCUGUGACUGUACUAAAAGAAAUUGCGCUUGCAGACCUAAGAGUGAUUAAUGCAGGGGAUGUCUGAAAACUUUUUUCCACCACUGUCUAUAGGAUCCUCUCAUCAAGGCCUCAGACCAAAGCUACAUAAAGUCCUCUCUGUCCUCUAUGGAUGUGUUUCCAGUCACAUCCUCAUAAAUCCCUUUGCAAUAAUGAAUGAGAUACUCGCUCAGUUCACCUUUCUAGUAAAGCUUCACUGUCUAAUUUGUACAAAUAUUGUUUUGGGUGGAAGCAAUUAACGGUAGUGAUGCGCUUAGGUGACACGGCGGAGCUGAAUCAUACCUCAGAUGCUGAACCCAAAUAGGAUCCGGUGUGUUUCUCUUUAGUUAAAUUCAUUAAAGGGCGGAGAAGCCAUUAUCUCAGCAAACUGCCAUGGCUGAAUAAUUAAUCAUCCCAUCACUUGUUUGUUGGACCUGAAUGUAUAACAUUUAUUCCUCGCUCCUUUGCCUGCUAAUGAAAUCCUUUCUUUAAUUUGAGAAAAAUGUUGGCUCUUCAUGUUUAGUCCCAGCUGACUCUUGAUUUGACUAAUGCAUAAUAAAUUGCAAUUAUGUGACAUAGAAGAAUAAUGUGGAAGAAAAGGUCAAGAACACCUUGAGACGCUUUAAAAUAAUAUGUAAUAAUAUUUAGGUAUAAUUAGAUAUCUCAGGCAAAUAGUUGGACUUUCAUAUCAUAUUUGUGUUGUUGUGACAAGGUACUUUCAAUACUGUUAAAAAAAUACAAUUUGACCUAUUCUUGUUUUUUUAAUUGGUAGCUUUUUUUCUGUAUUUUUGAAAUACAUGAAAUUAUAAAUGAAAAUACAAAGAUAGCCUGUGAUUUUACAUGUCUAAUCUCAAAUACCAUUAGAAAUCUGUUACUUUGAGCAACUUUAAAUUGUAAUUUAUUUUAGGAAAUUCACAUUUUUGACAGAAGAAAAUCUAUUCAGAUAUAUUUUAGUUUGUGACAAUUUAUAGAAAAACGAGUUUUGCUUCUGGAUUUUUUUCUAAUUUCUUUGUUCGAUGAGAGUUUUUAAAACCAAACAUUUGAAUGAAUGUGUUUUUAAAAAUGCAUGAUAUCUAUAAGCAUUGGUAUUGAGUCCUAAUACAGUUUCUAUCAUUACAAUUUUUUAAAGAACCGAAAAGCUCUAGGACAGUGGAACAUGACCUCCUACCAUCGUUUUGAGGAGAUGGAACCAACCUGAACCUGAAUUGUCAAAAACCCUCAAACUGCAUCAUAAUUAGCAGAAAAAGUAAUUAGCAGCGGUAGAUGAAUGGAAUCUCUCUGACAUGUCAUGUUGAGGUACAAACGGGAAUGAAAGUAAAAUACCUUGAAAUUGUGAAUGCACAGUACUUGAAAAUGUAUUUAGUUACUUUUCAUUGCUGGCUUUCAUUAGUGGCUGAUAUUAGAAACAGAGUUUUUUGUUUGUCUGUGAAAAGCUGACAUUUUGGAGGCUGCAUUCGAAGCCUUUCACAUGGCAACGGUCACAACAGCACAACAAUAGCAGGCGAAGGUGAAAAUAGAUUUUGGCUGACAACCACCACAGCUAAUCAUGGCUGCAGUACAAUGGAGGUUUUCAUGCUUUUAGGCCCUAAUAAAAUCAAAGUAUAACACCCUCUGCGCUCCGACGUGUCCCUCAUUUUCCUGGAUUGAUUUUUCGUCUUAUUAUAAUGGAUCGUAUGUGGCAAGUAAACAUGAGUUUUAAAAGAAAAAGAUUGUAAAUUGACCCGUGUUUUCUUUGCCAGGUUGCAAAUAAAUGGCCUUUUAAAGGACUGUGUAUUCAUUAGGGUACUGGCAAAGGAUUGUUUAAUGAGCUUAAAGAAAUGCACUAAUCUGAAAUAAAUGAGCUCAUGACCACUGUUCCCUCUAAACUGCGCGCGUGCGCAAUUGCGCACUGCUGACACGGUGUCCGCGCACAGAAAAUCUGCUGUGCACCAAAAAAAAAUCCAACCUAAAUUGUAAAUAAAAUAAACACGUAACAAUUCAUUCUGUGCUAUUUUUCAAUGUGAGUCAGUGAGUGACCGGUGACUGGCUGCUGCAGCCAAUGAUGCGAUUCACAUACGUAUUUACCAUAGACUGUAUAUAAUGGUAUUUACGCAGCUAGUCAACGUCAUUGACAGGCGUCCUUAUGUGCAGCCAUCGUUGUUGUCAUAGAUAUGAAUGAGUAGAUAGGACACGCCCCUUUGAGCUGCGUGCUACAGCGAGGCUAAGCUAGUGGGGGCAAAGUUUCAGUGCAUUCCGUUGAUGUAGACGGCGUGAAAACGGAAACAACAAGUAUGCCGGCUAACUGUGCUGCAUACAGUUACACACUACGUCGUACGAUUGAGACAAGGAAACUUGGAAUGACUUUUCAUAGGUUUCCCAGAGACUAUGGGUUGAGGAGGAAUUGGAAGUUUGUCGGCUUAGACCUGGUGUCAUUCCAUCAGUGUUAAACUUCCCGGCUCAUCUUGGAAGAGUACGUGCCAGAAAGACCACGACCAAGCAGCCUUGAGAUCUUAGGCAGCGUCUCCCUGAGACCAAAGAACUACAGACUCUUCACAACCUGCUCAAACUCUUGGUACAGGACCUCACCACACGGGUCAAGAAGGUUUCCGUGUCAUUUCUACUCUGAAGCUCACCUUCUCCUGCUCAAACUGCUGACAAAUGUUUCUGCUGCUCUAAAGUCUGGUCUCCAGAACUUCCUAAAAACUCUCAAAGUCUCUUCUGCUGCAGGUUGCUUUGUAGAACUGUUGCAGAAAACCUCACUAAACCACAUGGAGGGGCCUCAAGAUAGUCGUCCAAAUGAAACCAUACAAAAACCAAACUAGCACAACCCAAACGCUAAAGUCUCCUGCAGCCUACCAGAGAACCUCUGAGAACAGAGAAUCAGGACAGGAACUCUUACCUUCUGGACAACCAACGCUGGUUCUCAAGCAAGAAUACAGAAUGUGUCUGACCAGAAACCUCUGAAGACUCACUACAGCCAAGAUAAAGACACAACUCAGCUGCACCAAAUCCACUAAUCACUGCACACAUUAGCACCAUGUGCUAACUGUGGCUAAAGAACCACAUUUACCAAGACAACUAUCCAGUACAAAGCCCUAAAACACACCAAGAAACACAUUAAAGAUGAUUUUACUGCUGGAAGCUGCAAGCCAACACCUAAAGAACAAACUACAGCAACGGCGCCAAACCCGGUUCAGUGGUGAAGAGAAGCAGAGGAAAUGUUUGUCUGCAGCUAAAUAAAGCAGGAAGACACUGAGCUGCUCAGGUGUUCCUGAUAACACCAAGCAGCCACCUGGACAGCCAAUAGGAACACAGCUUCCUGGAAGUCCAGAGGGCUGGGUUAGUGAAGGAAAUUUAAUUUAAAGUUGAAGCAGAAAGUUAACAAAGAAAGUUGAAAACCACCUUCUGAUACCUGAAAUCUCUGAGUUUUCACACAAAGAACACCUGAACAUGUCAAACUGGUUCCAUAGUAGAACCAUCAUUGUAAAAACGUCAUAGUAUGGUGUGUUGCUCAAAAAACAUUAGGACCCGGCUGUCAGGGGACAAACAUGUAAGAAACAUGAGAACAGAGAGAACCCAACCAGUAGGUCACAGUUUAUCAUCCCCCAGUCAUCUCCUGAAGUCCAUAUGGUGAGAGACAUCAGUAUCUGGUUGUUCAUUUACCAGAGGAUGCUUAUAAUCAUGCUGAUGUGGUCUGUACUCUACAGUAUUUUAGUGACUCAAUAAAUGCCUAAGUUGUUUUUUUUAAAAUGCUUUUUAGUUUUUAAUAAACAUUUAACAGCC